GCUCCUUUAGCUCAGUUUGGUAGAGCGUCGUGCUGAUAGUUACGCGAAGGUCAUAAGUUCGAUCCUUAUGAGGAGC
rnacentral:tRNA from 1 species